rnacentral:lncRNA from 1 species
CCGCUGGGCGCCUGAGGCCCCUGAGAUUCCGAAAUUUUUAACCUCUGAAGCUGUGCCUUCACAUGAUCUAGGACAGCGUUCAGAAGAUGGCUACAGUCUGUUGGUUUGUAUUCUGUGAAAAUAGAAAAAAAAAUCCGGUUAGAGGAUGCAUUGGGCUCAGUGAAAAUUCAUGAAACUAAGUCACCAGCCUUCAGCAAUCUGAGCAAAGAUAAACUGCCUCAGGAACAGUAUUGAUGGCUUGCAGAGGACUGGCUUAUGACUUCAGGCGGCAUAAACAACAAGCACAAAUGGAUGCGUUUUCCGGUGUCCACCCAUCUGGCCGUUGGCGCAGGGAAUCAGAGCAUCUUGUCUGCAGCAUUAAGGCAACUACGAAAAUGCGUCAGAGGAGAAGCACCCCCAGUCCAGACUCCUUUGUCAGUGAGGUGUCAUGU